UACAGAGGGUGCUAGCGUUAAUCGGAAUUACUGGGCGUAAAGGGCGUGUAGGUGGUUGAAUAAGUUGGUUGUGAAAUCCCUGGGCUUAACCUAGGAAUGGCAAUCAAGACUGUUUAACUAGAGUACGGUAGAGGGUAGUGGAAUUUCCGGUGUAGCGGUGAAAUGCGUAGAGAUCGGAAGGAACACCAGUGGCGAAGGCGGCUACCUGGACUGAUACUGACACUGAGGCGCGAGAGCGUGGGGAGCAAACAGG
rnacentral:rRNA from 1 species